GUGGCCACGAUAAUCUCCAUUCUCUUCCUAUCUUUCUUUCCACACGGGACGCCAGAACGCUAUUCAUCACCUUGACUAAUGUAUUCGUGCUGCUGAGAGGGAGAUCUUCCGGGGUUAACGAGGCGGGGCAGAUGCAUCGUUCAACGCUGAUCGUCUCCUGAAACUAAUGUGGCACUCGCUAACACGCGCUUCUCGCCUCCUAAUGCUUCCUCUCAUUUAUCUUUCUGGCUGACUCCCGAGUGACACGCCUCCACCACCUUCUAUCCCUACCACCACCGCCCCUCUCCCUGAUAACCAUUCGCAAGACUGCUCUAAGUGUCCUCCAUUCAGUGGCAGGGAGCGCACCGGAACGACUUUCUUGAUUCAAGAUUGACUGUUCGUCGCCUCGCCGGCCACCCUGCCAGUACCUCGCUGCUCUCUGUUGAAUGAAGAUGUGGCGCUUCGCUAGGUUAACACUGCUGAUGACGUUUGCUUUUCUUAAGGUUGCGCCUGGGUGUGUUCCUGAGCAACAAACAGCCAAGGUUGCGCCUGGGUGUGUUCCUGAGCAACAAACAGCCAAGGUUGCGCCUGGGUGUGUUCCUGAGCAACAAACAGCCAAGGUUGCGCCUGGGUGUGUUCCUGAGCAACAAACAACAAGAUAGGUUGCGCUUGGGUAGCAACCUUCGGUAACCUCUUCGGUAACCUGUGUUCCUGAGCAAGAUGAUUAAAAAGUAGUGCAGAUUAAGAACGCCGUUCCAACCGAGAGGGACACACACACACAGCAGGUUGUUGUUACUUUUGUAACGUUUUUUUUAAUUCUAACUACUAACUACUACUACUACUACUACUACUACUACAAUUUGUGUUCAAUCAUACAUAUAUAACAAAACUUGUUCUGAUAUUUUUUUUUGUGCUUGCUUUUGUGAUUUUCCAGUUAAGUAAAGAUGUUU